rnacentral:rRNA from 1 species
GAGGAAAGAGGGCGGCGUGCCUAAUACAUGCAAGUCGAGCGAACAGACGAGGAGCUUGCUCCUCUGACGUUAGCGGCGGACGGGUGAGUAACACGUGGAUAACCUACCUAUAAGACUGGGAUAACUUCGGGAAACCGGAGCUAAUACCGGAUAAUAUAUUGAACCGCAUGGUUCAAUAGUGAAAGACGGUUUUGCUGUCACUUAUAGAUGGAUCCGCGCCGCAUUAGCUAGUUGGUAAGGUAACGGCUUACCAAGGCAACGAUGCGUAGCCGACCUGAGAGGGUGAUCGGCCACACUGGAACUGAGACACGGUCCAGACUCCUACGGGAGGCAGCAGUAGGGAAUCUUCCGCAAUGGGCGAAAGCCUGACGGAGCAACGCCGCGUGAGUGAUGAAGGUCUUCGGAUCGUAAAACUCUGUUAUUAGGGAAGAACAAAUGUGUAAGUAACUAUGCACGUCUUGACGGUACCUAAUCAGAAAGCCACGGCUAACUACGUG